AAGUCGUAACAAGGUUUCUGUAGGUGAACCUGCAGAAGGAUCAUUAGUGAAGAUUUGGGCAGGCCAUACGGACGCCAAAAAGUGUCCCUGGCCGCCUACACCCACUAUACAUCCACAAACCCGUGUGCACUGUCUUGGAGAAAGGCUUCAGAGAAGUUUUUUGUGGCCUCUCUUGGGGUCUUUCUUCGCUACAAACUCGAAUGGUUAGUAUGAACGUGGAACUUGGUUGGACCGUCACUGGCCAACAAGCUAUACACAACUUUCGACAACGGAUCUCUUGGUUCUCCCAUCGAUGAAGAACGCAGCGAAACGCGAUAGGUAAUGUGAAUUGCAGAAUUCCGUGAAUCAUCGAAUCUUUGAACGCACCUUGCGCUCUAUGGCAAUCCGUAGAGCAUGCCUGUUUGAGUGCCAUGAAAUCUCCCACCCCAAGCAGUUUUUAAAUGAAACGGCUUGGCGGAUGGGGUCUGGAUGGGUGCCUCUGCCUGCGCUACCUAGCACAGGCUCGCCCGAAAUGCAUGAGCGCCUUGAGACACUUUGCAUCCGCCUCUCUGUUUGGGAGGAGGCGGCCAAGCAGUGUUUUUCUCCUGGCAUGGCAUGAUACGUCAUUUGCUAUGUCGCCUAAAGGAGGAAUGUUUGGUUGUGUCUGCGUGUGCUUCGAACUUGCCUCUGUGGCACAUCCCAAUUUCACUUCUGGUCUCAAAUCAAGUAGGAUCACCCGCUGAACUUAAGCAUAUCAAUAACCGGAGGAAAUC
rnacentral:rRNA from 1 species